AGGAUUUGGUGAGGAAAAAGUGAAAGAUGACUCCUAAAAAAAGUUUCCUAAAGGACUAACUUUUAGAAGACAUGAGUAAUGAGGGGAGGAUAGACUUAGAGGUUAGAGUUUCUUAAAAGAAACAAGGUUAAGACAAGGCAACCUUUACCACCCUUCAUAUUCAACAUUGUGGUCAAAGGAUUGACUUUUAUACUUAGGAAAAGAAUUAGUAAGAAACAUCUUAAAU
rnacentral:lncRNA from 1 species